AUUGAACGCUGGCGGCAGGCCUAACACAUGCAAGUCGAGCGGAUGAAGAGAGCUUGCUCUCUGAUUUAGCGGCGGACGGGUGAGUAAUGCCUAGGAAUCUGCCUGGUAGUGGGGGAUAACGUUCCGAAAGGAACGCUAAUACCGCGUACGUCCUACGGGAGAAAGCAGGGGACCAUCGGGCCUGGCGCUAGCAGAUGAGCCUAGGUCGGAUUAGCUAGUUGGUGAGGUAAGGGCUCACCAAGGCUACGAUACGUGACUGGUCUGAGAGGAUGAUCAGUCACACUGGAACUGAGACACGGUCCAGACUCCUACGGGAGGCAGCAGUGGGGAAUAUUGGACAAUGGGCGAAAGCCUGAUCCAGCCAUGCCGCGUGUGUGAAGAAGGUCUUCGGAUUGUAAAGCACUUCAAGUUGGGAGGAAGGGCGUUUGGCUAAUAUCCAGGCGUUUUGACGUUACCAACAGAAUAAGCACCGGCUAACUUCGUGCCAGCAGCCGCGGUAACAC
rnacentral:rRNA from 1 species